GCUCCCAUGGCACAGUCGGAUAGCGCACUCCCUUCCUAAGGGAUAGGUCAUAGGUUCGAAUCCUAUUGGGAGCG
rnacentral:tRNA from 1 species